CUUCGGUGAUGAUACGAUGACGAGUCAGAAGAGGCCCCCUUCUGCCUGUGGUCAGUGGCACUCCGCCACGUUCUGUGGCCCUGUGUUGGCGGCCCUGGCAAAGGGGGGGGUCUGGUCUUUGGAUGAACUAGAGGCAUUUGUCUGAGAAGG